CCCUAGAUAGCUCUAGUGGACGAGUGUGUUCUCGUGAGGGUUUGUAGAAGAUGUACCCACAAAAUCCCAAGUCGUGAUGAAUCCACAAUUCUCUAUUCUUGCAAAUAAUGCACCAAAACCAACCUAAAAUGAUAGAAAAUCACUUCAUCACCUCAACUCGUGACCUGCACAGAAAAACAAUAAAAACACAUCAAAAGACACCAAACACUUAAGUACAACCAACCAAUUUAAGUGGAAAUGAAGGCCUAUAAGUGUGUAUAAAUACCAC
rnacentral:lncRNA from 1 species